CCUACGGGUGGCUGCAGUGGGGAAUAUUGCGCAAUGGGCGAAAGCCUGACGCAGCAACGCCGCGUGAGUGAUGAAGGCCUUCGGGUUGUAAAGCUCUUUCGGCCGGGAAGAAGGGCGCCGGGGCGAACAGCCCCGGAGUCUGAUGGUACCGGAAGAAGAAGCACCGGCUAACUUCGUGCCAGCAGCCGCGGUAAUACGAAGGGUGCAAGCGUUGUUCGGAAUUAUUGGGCGUAAAGGGUUCGCAGGCGGGAACCUCAAGUCAGGUGUGAAAUCCC
rnacentral:rRNA from 1 species